rnacentral:lncRNA from 1 species
CGCUUUAUUCCUUCCCCUUCCACUUCUAAACAAUUCCAUCCUAAAACUACCAGAUUAGACAAAGAAAAGCAAGCCUCUGCACAGGGGUUUGGAGCAAGGUGUUGACCAAAAUUUGGAUGUCAGAACUCAAGCAGGGAGAAGAGAUGGUGUCUCUCGCCCUGUCUCCAGGCUAGAGUGCAGUGGUGCGAUCUCGGCUCACUACAACUCCUACCUCCUGAGUUCAAGCGAUUCUCCUGCCUCAGCCUCCCGAGUAGCCAGGACUACAGUGUCGAGGUCAUGAAAGCCACUGAAAGACUGAGAACUGUUCCAGAAAGGAGACUAGAGAGACAUGGCAGCCAAAUGCUCCACAUAAUCCUGUCCUGGAUUCUUCUCCUACAAAGGAAGGGGUCUGAGGAUUAGGUGGUAGUACUGAAUCAAGGAACUAUCAUCUCCUAUUGUGCUGUAGGCAAACUUGAGUGACAUGGUGGAAGCCACCAGAGAGAAUAUCUGAAGCAAUUCAUUAAAAUCUUGGCAGCCAGACCCCAGCUCCCACUUUCCCUGAAAGCUCCCUUUAAUGAAGCUGAACGCUGUCCCAGCAAUUCCCUCCACAGAAGACCUACUGUCACCACCUCUGGAGGGGCAAUUCCUGGAGGAACCAAGUCAGCCAAUCGAAGGUCCUGAAUAAGCAAAAACUAAGUAAAUAAAUUACCAUCUCGAAAGUGAUGGGUUAGUGUGCUCUUUUGAAUGCCCCGUAGGAAAAUAAAUUUGAUUAAAAUUAAAUAUUUUGUUGUACGAUGUAAUGCUCAAAUUCAGGGGAUUCUGGUGUCCCUCUGGACAGUGUCAGUUGUUGGGGGAGGAGGGAAAUGCCAGCUGUC